UCCCUCUAAGAAAAACCUUU
rnacentral:snRNA from 1 species